rnacentral:rRNA from 1 species
AGUGAACGCUGGCGGUAGGCCUAACACAUGCAAGUCGAACGGCAGCACAGUAAGAGCUUGCUCUUACGGGUGGCGAGUGGCGGACGGGUGAGGAAUACAUCGGAAUCUACUUUUUCGUGGGGGAUAACGUAGGGAAACUUACGCUAAUACCGCAUACGACCUACGGGUGAAAGCAGGGGAUCUUCGGACCUUGCGCGAUUGAAUGAGCCGAUGUCGGAUUAGCUAGUUGGCGGGGUAAAGGCCCACCAAGGCGACGAUCCGUAGCUGGUCUGAGAGGAUGAUCAGCCACACGGGAACUGAGACACGGUCCAGACUCCUACGGGGGGCAGCAGUGGGGAAUAUUGGACAAUGGGCGCAAGCCUGGUCCAGCCAUACCGCGUGGGUGAAGAAGGCCUUCGGGUUGUAAAGCCCUUUUGUUGGGAAAGAAAAGCAGCAGGUUAAUACCCCGCUGUUCUGACGGUACCCAAAGAAUAAGCACCGGCUAACUUCGUG